rnacentral:rRNA from 1 species
GCUCAUUACAACAGGGAUGACUUAUAAGACUUAUUUUUAUUCUGGAUAUGAACGGUAAUUCUGUGACCAAUACGUAUUGCAACCGUGUCGCUUCUGCGCACGGCCAUAGUUCUGACUCAAAUCAAUAUUCACUUCCUAAGUGAUGAACUAUAUACCGUUGAUCGUAUGCCCUUGUGGUGACGACAUGUCUUAUAUGUCCCUGCCCUAUUAACCAAUGGUGAAUGUAGCGUACUCACUAGGUUGUCAUGGGUAACGGAGAAUCAGGGUUCGUCUCCGGAGAGGGCGCCUGAGAAAUGGCGACUAGUUCCACGGAAUGCAGCAGGCGCGAAACUUACCCAAUGUCAGAUCGGCGAGGUAGUGAAGAAACAUAGUGAGACUGACCUCUCUGAGGGCGGUCAUUGCAAUGGUUUAAACCUAAACUCUUUUUAGAGUAUCAACGAGUGGGCAAGUCUGGUGCCAGCAGCCGCGGUAAUUCCAGCACUCGUAAGAUAUAGAAUUAUUGUUGCGUUUAAAAGGCUCGUAGUUGGAUUGUCACACAGGUUGUGGGUUCGUGCUUCGGUGCGUUACUCAGCCAGUGUUUUGCAUUCUUCCUGUUCGGCUUUCGGGCUGUUCUUUGGUUGAUGCUGGAUUACUUUGUAUGUCUUAAGUGCUCAAUGCGAGGCUUAGGCUUGUAUUGCAAUACAUGGAAUAAUGGAACAAGGUUGCGACCGAGUUUCUUUGGUUUGUCGGUUGAGACAAUGAUUAACAGGGAUAGUUCGAGGGUGAACGUAUCGUAGCGCGAGGAGUGAAAUCUGUGGACCGUUGCGAGACGACCUAAAGCGAAAGCAUUCACCAAGGAUGUUUUCAUUAAUCAAGAGCGAAAGUCAGAGGUUCGAAGGCGAUUAGAUACCGCCCUAGUUCUGACCGUAAACGAUGCCUACUAUCAAUCUGCAUGUGGAUUUUAUUCACUAUGUGGGCAGGAACCCGGAAACGAAAGUGUUUCGGCUCCGGGGGUAGUAUGGUUGCAAAGCUGAAACUUAAAGGAAUUGACGGAAGGGCACCACCAGGAGUGGAGCUUGCGGCUUAAUUUGACUCAACACGGGAAAGCUCACCUGAGCAGUAAAUUGGAUGGAUUGACAGAUUGCUAGUUCUUUCAUGAUUCGGUUAAUGGUGGUGCAUGGCCGUUCUUAGUUCGUGGAUUGAUUUGUCUGCUUAAUUGCGUUAACGAACGAGACUUUGGUAGUUAAAUAGUGGGAACGAAUUUGAUCAACCCCGCUUCUUAGUUGGAUAGACUAUGUCUAAUGGUAUGAAAGAAAGCAAUAACAGGUCUGUUAUGCCCUCAGAUGGUCGGGGCCGCACGCGUGCUACAAUGUUGGUGACAGCGUGAUUAUCCUUAGUCGAUGGACUUUGGCAAACGGUUGAGUUAUUAUUAUAGCUGGAAUUGAGUAUUGGAAUUAUUACUUAUGAACAAGGAAUUCCUUGUAAAUGUGUGUCAUUAUCACGCAUUGAUUAUGUCCCUGCCCUUUGUGCACACCGCCCGAUCGCUGCCCGGAACUGAGCUAUUUCGAGAAGACUAUGGACGAUGAUGUUUUUUCGCUUCGGCGUUGGAUGUCGUUGAAAGUGGUUUAAUCGCGAUGACUUGAACCGGGCAAAAGUCGUAACAAGGUUUCGGUAGGUGAACCUGCCGAAGGAUCACAAUGAGUUGUUGAUCAACCUUACGAAUUAUUAGAUGUCUCUGAGCAUUGAUCAGCCAGAGAGUGGGAUUAUUGUGCUUAGUCUGAUAUUCCCAAAACACUUAUGCUGGAACUGAGAUUAAGGUGGCUAUGUGGAUUGGAGCACUACGGUGUGAUGAAGGUCUGCCUUUCAGGAUGUCUUUCGAUAUCUGAGUCUCAAUGAACCCGAGGUUGGGUCGCCUUUGUGGAGUUAUCAUUUAAGAAUUUUAAAGCUUAAAAAGUGAAAUUAUAUUGGUGGAUCACUUGGCUAUCAGAUCGAUGAAGAACGCAGUGAAUUGCGUUAAUGAGCGGAAAUUACGUACACUAUGACCGCCUCGUUUUCGAAUGCAUAUUGCGUCGUUAGGCUUUGCCUUUCGACAUAUUCUACUCAGGGUAUUUCAUACUGAAUACAACGCUUAGUGUGUGUUGAGCGUUUGUGAGAUGAGACAAUCUUCCGGGAGGAUUGAUCUACCAAAUGGUUGGAGAAUGUGGCCAACCGAGAAUUGACUUGGAGUUGUUGUUGGAUUGUGAGAUGAAGCUUGUGAGAUCUUUGUAUCUGCUGAGUCGAUCAUUCCACUGAAUUCCUUAUCUCUUG